GACGAACGCUGGCGGCGUGCUUAACACAUGCAAGUCGAACGAAGUGGCGAACGGGUGAGUAACGCGUAAUAAACCUGCCCUUCAGAGGGGGACAACAGUUGGAAACGACUGCUAAUACCGCAUACUGAAGGAGGGGAUUGCGUUUGAUUUGCUAGUUGGCUGGGUCACGGCCCACCAAGGCGAUGAUCAGUAGCCGGUCUGGAUGGGUGAACGGCCACAUUGGGACUUGGACACGGCCCCGUCUCCUUAGGGCGGCAGCCGUGGGGAAUCUUCCGCAAUGGACGAAAGUCCUACGGAGCAACGCCGCUUGAUUGAUGACGGCCUUCGGGUUGUAAAGCUCUUUUAAUCGGGACGCGGUACCGGAAUAGAAAGCCACGGCUAACUACGUGCCAGCAGCCGCGGUAAUAC
rnacentral:rRNA from 1 species